CGGGGCGUGGCGCAGUUGGCUAGCGCGUGCGCAUGGGGUGCGCAAGGCCGCAGGUUCAAGUCCUGUCGCCCCGACCA
rnacentral:tRNA from 1 species